UAUUUGUCAAUGGGGGAAACCCUGAACCAGCAACGCCGCGUGAGGGAAGACGGUUUUCGGAUUGUAGACAUCUGUCCUCUGGGAAGAUAAUGACGGUAGAAGAGGAGGAAGCUCCGGCUAACUACGUGCCAGCAGCCGCGGUAAUACGUAGGGAGCAAGCGUUGUCCGGAUUUACUGGGUGUAAAGGGUGCGUAGGCGGCUUUGCAAGUCAGAAGUGAAAUCCAUGGGCUUAACCCAUGAACUGCUUUUGAAACUGCAGAGCUUGAGUGGAGUAGAGGUAGGCGGAAUUCCCGGUGUAGCGGUGAAAUGCGUAGAGAUCGGGAGGAACACCAGUGGCGAAGGCGGCCUACUGGGCUCUAACUGACGCUGAGGCACGAAAGCGUGGGUAGCAAACAGG
rnacentral:rRNA from 1 species